rnacentral:rRNA from 1 species
UUGAAAGGGAAACGAUUGAAGUCAGUCGUACCUGCGGGUAAUCAGCCUUUUGGGUGUGAUUAUGUGGAGCGUGAGGAGCUAAUCGCCUUCAUCUUUGCAUAUUCGUGCACUUUGGGUGUACUUGCUCGUGUGGUAGGUUAACAUCAAUUUUGAUCGUCAUAAAAUGACUGGAGGAAUGUAGCUUCGAUCUCGUAUUGAAGUGUUAUAGCCUUUGGUAGAUGUGAUGAUUAGGAUUGAGGAUUGCAACGGAUACCCUUCGGGGCUAACUGUCUGACCUCUGAAAGUUGCUCUGGUGCUGAAAGCUUGCUUAUGGUAUCAAAGUUUGACGUUCAAUAGGUUAGAACGGGAUAAAUUCGUUAAGGAUGUUGACGUA